AACGCUGGCGGCGUGCCUAAUACAUGCAAGUCGAACGAGUUCUGAUUAUUGAAAGGUGCUUGCAUCUUGAUUUAAUUUUGAACGAGUGGCGGACGGGUGAGUAACACGUGGGUAACCUGCCCUUAAGUGGGGGAUAACAUUUGGAAACAGAUGCUAAUACCGCAUAAAUCCAAGAACCGCAUGGUUCUUGGCUGAAAGAUGGCGUAAGCUAUCGCUUUUGGAUGGACCCGCGGCGUAUUAGCUAGUUGGUGAGGUAACGGCUCACCAAGGCAAUGAUACGUAGCCGAACUGAGAGGUUGAUCGGCCACAUUGGGACUGAGACACGGCCCAAACUCCUACGGGAGGCAGCAGUAGGGAAUCUUCCACAAUGGACGCAAGUCUGAUGGGGCAACGCCGCGUGAGUGAAGAAGGCUUUCGGGUCGUAAAACUCUGUUGUUGGAGAAGAAUGGUCGGCAGAGUAACUGUUGUCGGCGUGACGGUAUCCAACCAGAAAGCCACGGCUAACUACGUGCCAGCAGCCGCGGUAAUACGUAGGUGGCAAGCGUUAUCCGGAUUUAUUGGGCGUAAAGCGAGCGCAGGCGGUUUUUUAAGUCUGAUGUGAAAGCCCUCGGCUUAACCGAGGAAGUGCAUCGGAAACUGGGAAACUUGAGUGCAGAAGAGGACAGUGGAACUCCAUGUGUAGCGGUGAAAUGCGUAGAUAUAUGGAAGAACACCAGUGGCGAAGGCGGCUGUCUGGUCUGUAACUGACGCUGAGGCUCGAAAGCAUGGGUAGCGAACAGGAUUAGAUACCCUGGUAGUCCAUGCCGUAAACGAUGAAUGCUAGGUGUUGGAGGGUUUCCGCCCUUCAGUGCCGCAGCUAACGCAUUAAGCAUUCCGCCUGGGGAGUACGACCGCAAGGUUGAAACUCAAAGGAAUUGACGGGGGCCCGCACAAGCGGUGGAGCAUGUGGUUUAAUUCGAAGCAACGCGAAGAACCUUACCAGGUCUUGACAUCUUUUGAUCACCUGAGAGAUCAGGUUUCCCCUUCGGGGGCAAAACGACAGGUGGUGCAUGGUUGUCGUCAGCUCGUGUCGUGAGAUGUUGGGUUAAGUCCCGCAACGAGCGCAACCCUUAUGACUAGUUGCCAGCAUUUAGUUGGGCACUCUAGUAAGACUGCCGGUGACAAACCGGAGGAAGGUGGGGAUGACGUCAAAUCAUCAUGCCCCUUAUGACCUGGGCUACACACGUGCUACAAUGGAUGGUACAACGAGUUGCGAGACCGCGAGGUCAAGCUAAUCUCUUAAAGCCAUUCUCAGUUCGGACUGUAGGCUGCAACUCGCCUACACGAAGUCGGAAUCGCUAGUAAUCGCGGAUCAGCACGCCGCGGUGAAUACGUUCCCGGGCCUUGUACACACCGCCCGUCACACCAUGAGAGUUUGUAACACCCGAAGCCGGUGGCGUAACCCUUUUAGGGAGCGAGCCGUCUAAGGUGGGACAAAUGAUUAGGGUGAAG
rnacentral:rRNA from 1 species